rnacentral:rRNA from 1 species
AUUGAACGCUGGCGGCAGGCCUAACACAUGCAAGUCGAGCGGAGCGGCGGACGGGUGAGUAAUGCCUAGGAAUCUGCCUGGUAGUGGGGGAUAACGUCCGGACACGGGAGCAAAUACCACAUACUCUCAGAUGAGCCUAGGUCGGAUUAGCUAGUUGGUGGGGUAAAGGCCUACCAGGGCGACGAUCCGUACCUGGACUGAGUGGAUGAUCAGCCACAUUUGCACUGAGACACGGUCCAGACUCCUACGGGAGGCAGCAGUGGGGAAUUUUGGACAAUGGGCGAAAGCCUGAUCCAGCCAUGCCGCGUGUGUGAAGAAGGUCUUCGGAUUGUAAAGCACUUUAAGUUGGGAGGCGUUACCAACAGAAUAAGCACCGGCUAACUACGUGCCAGCAGCCGCGGUAAUAC